UGGUUUUGUUCUUCAGGCUGCUCCAGUAAUGGUAUGUGAAGUGAACAAUUCUUUUGACAGUGAUAGAUCGGUUUUGUUAACCAUCAAAAAUAAGGAGGUUGAAAGAGUUAAGGUUUAGAAGAUAUAAAAUCCUUAAAAACUGCCCCAUAGAUAUAACAAACAACACCAAAGAUAGCCAGUCUAUGCUAACUGAAACUGCUCUAGGCUCUGAACAGAACACAGUAUGUGAAGCUCAUGACACGAUGGAAUUUUGUGCCUCUGCCACACCUAUGUGUAUACACAGAGCGAGCUGAGCAACGCAAACCCUCAGAUUACGUAAGAAGAGAGGCAGUUUUAAGAAUAAAACAUUUCGAGGAUAAAAAAAAAUUGAAUUACAAAUAUUAAA